GUUGCGAUGGCCGAGUGGUUAAGGCGUUUGACUAGAAAUCAAAUGGGAUCUUCCCGCGUAGGUUCGAAUCCUACUCGCAACG
rnacentral:tRNA from 1 species